GACGAACGCUGGCGGCGUGCUUAACACAUGCAAGUCGAACGGAAAGGCCCUGCUUUUGUGGGGUGCUCGAGUGGCGAACGGGUGAGUAACACGUGAGUAACCUGCCCUUGACUUUGGGAUAACUUCAGGAAACUGGGGCUAAUACCGGAUAGGAGCUCCUGCUGCAUGGUGGGGGUUGGAAAGUUUCGGCGGUUGGGGAUGGACUCGCGGCUUAUCAGCUUGUUGGUGGGGUAGUGGCUUACCAAGGCUUUGACGGGUAGCCGGCCUGAGAGGGUGACCGGCCACAUUGGGACUGAGAUACGGCCCAGACUCCUACGGGAGGCAGCAGUGGGGAAUAUUGCACAAUGGGUGGAAGCCUAAUGCAGCAACGCCGCGUGCGGGAUGACGGCCUUCGGGUUGUAAACCGCUUUCGCCUGUGACGAAGCGUGAGUGACGGUAAUGGGUAAAGAAGCACCGGCUAACUACGUG
rnacentral:rRNA from 1 species